UACGUAGGGUGCGAGCGUUGUUCGGAUUUAUUGGGCGUAAAGAGCGUGUAGGCGGCCUGGUAGGUCAGCUGUGAAAACUCGAGGCUCAACCUCGAGACGCCGGUUGAAACCAUCAGGCUAGAGUCCGGAAGAGGAGAGUGGAAUUCCCGGUGUAGCGGUGAAAUGCGCAGAUAUCGGGAAGAACACCCGUGGCUAAGGCGGCUCUCUAGUACGGUACUGACGCUGAGACGCGAAAGCGUGGGGAGCGAACAGG
rnacentral:rRNA from 1 species